rnacentral:misc_RNA from 1 species
GAUGAAGAACGUAGCGAAAUGCGAUAAGUAGUGUGAAUUGCAGAAUUCAGUGAAUCAUCGAAUCUUUGAACGCACAUUGCGCCCCCUGGCAUUCCGGGGGGCAUGCCUGUCCGAGCGUCAUUGCUGCCCUUCAAGCCCGGCUUGUGUGUUGGGUCGUCGUCCCCCCCGGGGGACGGGCCCGAAAGGCAGCGGCGGCACCGCGUCCGGUCCUCGAGCGUAUGGGGCUUUGUCACCGGCUCGAUUAGGGCCGGCCGGGCGCCAGCCGGCGUCUCCAACCUUCUAUUUUACCAGGUUGACCUCGGAUCAGGUAGGGAUACCCGCUGAACUUAAGCAUAUCAAUAAGCGGAGGA